CAGCAUGGUUUUGCUCUUACGUGGCUCAGUUUCUGCUGGGUCAUUCUGACACAUGUGCCACCUGGUAAUGACCUUUGAUCUGAGGGGAUUGGGAGAUACUUGAUAAAUAGUAUCCUCUUCUGUCCUGCCAGGGGACAAUUCUAGGGUGAAUUAUACAUGGCUUCUCAGAGACUUUCCAGCAGGAUUAUACUCCAGUUACCUAAAGCAAUGAACAGUUUGAAAAUGCACCCUUCCCCUAUUUCAUCCUGUCCAGUCCUUCCCACCAUUAGAACCACUUCCCAACAUCAACGAUCUGCAUGGGAGCACAUUUCUCAGGCUCUGUUUGAAGACACCCACAUUCCAUACAGCCUUUCCUGGUGCCUCUGAGUCCUGGGCUUCUCAGUUUCUCUAGAUAAUUGUCUUACUUCUCAUGGUGCCCUGCUCUGCCAGGGUUAGGAGCGCAUCCAAAUUCCCUGCCAAGGUAGUGGAAAUUCCAUCAUAAGUUUACCACCUUGCAAAUAUCUGUGGAUAUUUGCUGUCUCCUUUUCCCAUUCUCUUUGCUCUUAUGGACUCAAUAGCAGAAUGGAAGUGACAAAGUGAAGAUUUAGUGAACUUGAAGACAGAACAAAAGAAAUGACUAACCUAAUGACAGAGAAAGAAAAAAAAAGCAGAGCUUCAGAUUUCAGGUAUUAUUGGGACUAUAACAAACGAUCAAUCAUUCAUAUCAUUUGCCAUUUUUUGGCACCUUUUGAAAUAUCCUUAUGGUAUUUCUCCUUUUUGUGUUGUUACGUUGUUGCUAAUACGGUGAAUUGCAUUGAUUGAUUUUUUAAAAAA
rnacentral:lncRNA from 1 species